AUGAUAUUUUAGAAUGGAUUGGUUGCACUGUAAUUUAUGUUUUUGUCAACCUGGUAAUGGUAAAGGAUAUGCAUUGACUAGCUGCGGACACAUUUAUUGUGAAAAAUGUGUAAAAGAAGGAUGUGAAAAGAGAUGUAAAAUGUGUGGGGCAGAAUGUACAUCAAUGAAAUUAACAAGCAAGUUGAAACCAGAAGUAGAAUGCUUCUUUAUGGAUCCUCUAGAUUUGGCCAAGAAACAUAACAGAGAACUAGUACAGGUUAUGGAUUUUCAGAGAAGUCACAGAAAAAGGUUAACAUCAUUUAUUAGAGAAAGGAUGGCGAAUCAAACCAGUAUUAUUGAAAAGGCUCAAAAGGCUAUUUCACAAAGUCACGAUAAUGAGAGGGAAAUAUUAAAACUACGAGAUGAAAAUGCUUAUUUAAAAAGAUUAAUUAGUGAAAAGAGUUUCUACUCCAAGUAGAAUAGGUUUAACCUCAUCUCCUGGGGGUUAUAAAGGCUCGACUUGUUAUCCCUCUCCGACAAGAUCACCGAAAUCGUCAUACCAGACUAAAAUUAAUUCUGCUUUACACACAAUGUCUUUAUCACAGCAUUCUUCCACCCCAUUAUUAUCACAGACACGUUUAACAGCAAGAACUCCACCAUCUGGUGGAAAAAUGGGAUUAAUGAAUGGUACCCCAACUAAUACACAAAUGAAUCCACAACAAACACCACGGUCUAUACCGCAUCCUAUCCAGUUAAGUCCAAUGUCUAGUCCAAUGCAUGCCAGAUGAUGUGGAAAAACAUGAAUUACAGAGAGAGUGAAAUACCAGACCUUUCUCGCGCACCUGUUAAACCACUAGACCAUCCAACCA